rnacentral:rRNA from 1 species
GACGAACGCUGGCGGCGUGCUUAACACAUGCAAGUCGAACGGAAAGGCCCUGCUUUUGUGGGGUGCUCGAGUGGCGAACGGGUGAGUAACACGUGAGUAACCUGCCCUUGACUUUGGGAUAACUUCAGGAAACUGGGGCUAAUACCGGAUAGGAGCUCCUGCUGCAUGGUGGGGGUUGGAAAGUUUCGGCGGUUGGGGAUGGACUCGCGGCUUAUCAGCUUGUUGGUGGGGUAGUGGCUUACCAAGGCUUUGACGGGUAGCCGGCCUGAGAGGGUGACCGGCCACAUUGGGACUGAGAUACGGCCCAGACUCCUACGGGAGGCAGCAGUGGGGAAUAUGGCACAGUGGGCGGAAGCCUGAUGCAGCAACGCCGCGUGCGGGAUGACGGCCUUCGGGUUGUAAACCGCUUUCGCCUGUGACGAAGCGUGAGUGACGGUAAUGGGUAAAGAAGCACCGGCUAACUACGUG